CCCCACCCCCUCCAAAAUGAUCGACCGACGGCUGCGAGGGAAAUUGGGCCAACAAAUUAGAUGAACCCUUGACGCAAUACCGAAAAGGAAAGAAAUAGUAAGGCGAACAUGAAUAACACCUUCUGCAAGGGGAAAAAAGUGCUAGAGGCAGUGAGUGUAUUCUAAAACUCACAGGAAUAAUCUCUGGAAGACUUUCUCAUGCCUGCAGAAGGCCGGGAAACUGUCAGUCAUAAUAUCAGAUGCGUCCGUCCUCCACCCUCGCCACCUCCGAUCAGCAGCAACGUCACGCUCCUCAUCACAGGAUUGCAGCCACUUCCCUCACCACCACCACCAGCGUCUGGACCACAAGGUGGAAUACAGCCUCGUCUGACCUAAACAUCUCUACCC
ensembl:lncRNA